GGAGAGUGGGUACAGCUCAGUGGUAGAGCACAUGCUUACCAUGCAUGAGGUCCUGGGUUCAAUCCCCAGUAUCUCCA